GAAAUCAUGAAGCUGAAAUCAGGAGGAUGUGCUUAGAUGACUUUGCAUUCCAUGAAGUCUGGGAGCAAAGAAGUUUUGUCUAUGGAGGUUGAGCAAGGGGGUCUGAGGGAACCACAUGCUGUGAGCUGAGACGUGGACACACGACAGGGCAGAUGAAAUCUCUUGGCUAAAGAUCAUGAAGAGGAUUUUUAGGAAGAUGUCAUUGGAAGGUAGCCUUAACCUGUUGGUGGUAGGAUGAGGUGCUAGAAUGGAAGGUGAGGACUGAGGAGCUGGAAGGAGAGACGGCUGAUGCUGAGUGCUCAGAGGUGGCUUCUGGAAGAAACAGACUUGAGCUGAGAUGAUUCAAACAGGUAGGAGUGAAGGCAUUCCAGGCUGGGAGCAGGGCAUGAGCAAAG